rnacentral:rRNA from 1 species
AUGCCUCAACCCGAACCACAAGUUGGUCUUUCCCUCUUCUCUUCUUUGGUAGAUCCAUCUAUCCCACCAGGAACAUUGCAGGGGCCUUCCGAAAUGGAGCCGCUUCUCUCUGCAAUCGUGGGUGAUCUUGUCAGCAGAGCCCUGUCCAUGGUAACCCAGAGAUACCUGCAGUCCAAGGGAGCAGAGGAGGAGAAGCUCCAGAGGCUACGGGCAGUGCUGCUAAGGAUCGAUGCCACCGUCGAGGAGGCCGAGGGGAGGCACAUCACCAACCAGGCAAUGCUCCAGCAGCUCCAGAUGUUGAGACGAGGUAUGUACAGAGGCUACUACACGCUCGACACCUUCAGAUACCGAGCGCACAGGGACGAGGCCGAUGGCAAGGCAAGCACUCGCCGUUCGCUUGCCCUGUCCAGAUUCAGCCCUUCCAGUUCCAGACGUACCUCCUCCUCCGUGUGCGACGCCCAGAGGAUGGACCUGGUGCUUGAUGCCGGGAGCUGCAACAAUCUCGACAAGAUGCUCAGCAGCCUUGAGAGAAUGAUUGGUGACAUGCAGGAGUUCGUGAUGUUCUUGGGCAGCUAUCCUCGAAUCUCCCAGCAACCUUACGACGCGUAUUUGUUUCAUGAUCAGGUUAUGUUUGGCCGGCAGAUGGAAAAGGAGACAAUUUUGAGCUUUCUGCUUUGUAGAGAGGCUGCAAGGAAUGGAAGUCUGGGUGUGCUGCCGAUAAUUGGUCCAGCGAGAGUCGGAAAGAGUACACUUGUUGAGCAUGUCUGCCUUGACGAGAGGGUGCGGAGGCGCUUCUCGUCGAUCGUCUUCUUCAGCGGAAAUGAUCUCAAUGGUGGAAACUUGGCCACUCUAAAAGGGGACAUGGACGAGGAAACAUGGAGGGGGUUGUACACCUCGGCAGCAAGCCACCUGACGCCAGGCAGUAAAAUCAUACUCACCAGCCGUUCAGAGAAGAUAGCAUCAUUAGGAACGGCACAGUCUCUUGUGCUGAAAUUUUUGUCCCAAGAAGCUUACUGGUAUUUCUUCAAGACGGCUGCAUUCGGAAGCACAGACCCUGGUGAGCAUCCUAACCUGGCAGCCCUCGGCAUGGAGAUCGUCGUCCACAUGAACAGAUCAUUCGUGGCAGCGAACACCGUUGCCAGCUUACUGAGAACCAAUCUUGACACACGGUUUUGGCGCAGAGUGCUGAGAUGCUUGAGAGAUUUUGCAAGCAAGCACCUCAGCAUGUUUGGCGAGCACCCGACCAAUCUCCUGCAGAAGGACCAGCCUGUGUACAUGUGGACAAUGGCCAAGACAAGCAAUGUCGUCGUAAUGCGUGAUAUUUAUCAUGAGCCCUCUCCCAAGAUCAGUGAGGUUCCCAGGAUAACGGCACAGGAUGUUUUGUCUGGGCGAGUUAUGUCUGAAGGGACAUUCCAAGCAGUGGCAUGGAGGUCCAGGAUACCUCCCUGCUACACCUACUUAGUGAGCUUCAUUGUGUCACGGACAGACAAGCACGCGGUGCUCGGUAAGAAGCGGUCUCGGCAGGAGAGAAUUUGA